rnacentral:rRNA from 1 species
AGUGAACGCUGGCGGUAGGCCUAACACAUGCAAGUCGAACGGCAGCACAGUAAGAUCUUGCUCUUACGGGUGGCGAGUGGCGGACGUGUGAGGAAUACAUCGGAAUCUACUUUUUCGUGGGGGAUAACGUAGGUAAACUUACGCUAAUACCGCAUACGACCUACGGGUGAAAGCAGGGGAUCUUCGGACCUUGCGCGAUUGAAUGAGCCGAUGUCGGAUUAGCUAGUUGGCGGGGUAAAGGCCCACCAAGGCGACGAUCCGUAGCUGGUCUGAGAGGAUGAUCAGCCACACUGGAACUGAGACACGGUCCAGACUCCUACGGGAGGCAGCAGUGGGGAAUAUUGGACAAUGGGCGCAAGCCUGAUCCAGCCAUACCGAGUGGGUGAAGAAGGCCUUCGGGUUGUAAAGCCCUUUUGUUGGGAAAGAAAAGCAGCAGGUUAAUACCCAGCUGUUCUGACGGUACCCAAAGAAUAAGCACCGGCUAACUUCGUG